AACAAACGCUGGCGGCGUGCCUAAUACAUGCAAGUCGAACGGGGAAAGCUUUCGGGUGAGUACUAGUGGCGCACGGGUAAGUAACGCGUGGAUAAUCUGCCUUAGAGUGGGGGAUAACUAGUCGAAAGAUUAGCUAAUACCGCAUAAGACCACAAGAACUGCGGUUCAAGGGGUCAAAGGUUUUUCGCUCUAAGAUGAGUCCGCGUAAGACUGGCUAGUUGGUAGGGUAACGGCCUACCAAGGCGACGAUCUUUAACUGGUCUGAGAGGAUGAUCAGUCACACUGGAACUGAGACACGGUCCAGACUCCUACGGGAGGCAGCAGUAGGGAAUAUUGCACAAUGGAGGAAACUCUGAUGCAGCGACGCCGCGUGAGUGAUGAAGGCCUUCGGGUCGUAAAGCUCUGUCGCAGGGGAAUAACACAAUGAAGGUACCCUGUAAGAAAGGAUCGGCUAACUUCGUGCCAGCAGCCGCCGUAACAC
rnacentral:rRNA from 1 species